CCCAAAUUGGGAACCUAACCCUCAUUUUCCCCUUUCCUCAGAGGCUGAAACACGCAGCCUUCACCCCCUUUCUCCUUCACCCACUUAACGUACAACACACCCACACCAGCCACAGAGAGGAAGAGAGGGAGCUGCUCCACGUUACCGUCCAGUUGCUGUCCGGCUCGCCAUCACCGGUGUCUCACCGCCGUCACUAUGGAGACCAAACGCCGUUGAGCUUCUUGCUACUGCCUUGGAGUCCGUCGUCAGGUUCGAGUUGAAGAAAGAGGGAGGCAUAGAUUCAACGUCGCGUAGAGAGGAAUUUGUUGUUGUCGUUGCACGCCGUCGUGUGCUGUCGCUGUUGUUUGAGCCGUCGCUAUCGCCGUGGGUGAAGUCCGCCGCUGGCGCCAGUUGAGGCCGCUGCUAUGGAACAAAGAUGAGAGAGAGACGUUGGGAGGAAACUGUGAGCUGCAAGCCGCUGACCGAGAAGAAGCUCUGCCUUUGUUGCCGUGUUAGAGUCGUCACUGCCAACGCCGUGCACCGCCGUUAGCACUGCCAUUGAAGGGAGCUCGCCGUCACAGUUCAAUCAUCAUUGAGCUUGAAGGGAGGCGUCACUAAUAUACCCGACAGCAGCUUCCCCUGCGUUCCCAAUUCCAUUCUUGAAACUUAUUAUCAUCUUUAUCCGGAACCACUGAUGUCAUCGCUACGGAGGUGAUUGGGAUAGGCGCGAUUGUCAUUGUUGUUGCUGCCCCAGAAGAAGUGAGGCUGCUGCUGCUGUUCCGGCCGCAUUGGCUGUUGUAAACUGGAAAAA